CAAAGAGAAAGACUUACUGUAUGGUAACUGUUGAGUCACAGCCUGAACCCCUGAUUGAGCACCUGGGAAAGGACCCAGUCAGCCUUAGGAGCACAGGUGAAGGCAAUUCAUCUGUGUGACCAGAAGGGGUGGAGCCUGGCUGUACCUCUCUUAGACCUCAUUUAAGGGCUGACUGCCAGUGGAGAAGGUUUUCUUUCUGGAGAUCCCUCUGUGGUGAAGCUUUCCCUUACAAACCUGGAAUCUUCAGAUAUGGUUGUUGUCAGUAUCUCCUCCAGAAGAUGUAACGUACAGUCUCUAUGCCCUGUGGAAUUCUGGAGAGUGCAUGCUUUCAUUGGAGUCUUCACAAAGCACUCACAACAGGGUGCUCUGGCCUUAGUCGUGGGAAUACAGGAACUGUGGGGAUACAAGGAGCAGAAAGCAGCUGACUACUCUUUUCACCAGGCAGUUUGGAGAAAAAAAUAUGCAACCUGACCCAAGUGCAGAGGAAGGAAAAGUAAACAAAGCAUAAGGCUAGCCAAACUGAAGAUUUUAUGGGAAUAUAUGAUUGUAUGGGAACUGUUGCCUGAACCUCUGAUUGAUCACCUGAGGCAAGCACUUAGUCAGCCAUGGGAGCACAGGUGAAGGCAAUUCACCUGUGUGACCGGAAGGAGUGGAGCCUGGCCGCACCUCUCCUAGACACCAUUUAAGGGCUGACUGCCACUAGGGAAGGGUCUCUUUCUGGAGAUUACUCCCUUUGAAGUUUUUCUGUGAGCCUAGGAUAUGGGAGCUGAAGGCACAGACUUCUGCCAAAGGAUCUCCACUCUUGGAUUUUUGCCAUCUCCGGAGGCAUGCUUUCACAUGUUUACCACACAGUGAGUGGAGGAAGUGCCCAAGAAACCCAGUAACACAUGUGGACAGCUCUGUGAGUUCAUCAGGCAGUCACUUCACAAGAACACGUAAGCUGUCCCGAUUGCCUUCUAACAUCCACACAUCACCGUGUGAUGUCUGUGUGCAACGCAGCUUUAAAUUGGCGUGGGACUUACAGGUGUAAGCCUGUGGGAGUUUUACCUUUGAGGAUAUUAUUAUGGCUGUGUUGCAGCACUCUGAUUGCACUUAUCCAUCUGUGCGCUGUUAUGCUGACAGUGCUAACAAAGCACGCCCAGCUAGCAGGCUGGAACACCCCUUGUAAACACGGCUUUGGCUUUGCUGGGCGCUGAGCUGGGACGGGCAGGCCGGCGUCCUGAAUCACACCUACACAAGCUUCCUCCAGCAGUGGGAAUUAGUCUAGUUUGUUUUACUUAAAAAGGAAGUCCAGGAAGCAAACAGUACCUUCAGAAACAUUAUGACCGAGGCGAGAAUAAGAACUGUUAGGGAACAACUGAACAGAUUACAGAAAAAUGCACUCGAAUACUAAAUGCAAAGCGGAAUAUGGGCAGCACAACCCGAACCCCUGUCCGCCAGCGGGGAGCAACGCCUGGUAGCUGCUGCUGUGCCCUAACGCGGCCUGGUAACGCGAGGAGGCGGCUCCUCAGCACCGUGUCCGCGUCUUUUCGGGUCCCCGCCGAGACGGAGGCGCCGGACUCGUCCCGCUCACAGCGCUCCACAGCCCCGUCCGCUCCGCGCUCCGCGGCGCUGCGGGGGAGAUCGCGCAUCGCCACAUCCGGGUGCCGGCCCUCUCUGCGCGCAUGCGC
ensembl:lncRNA